GUCUAUGGCCAUACCACCCUAAACACGCCCGAUCUUAUCUGAUCUCAGAAGCUAAGCAGGGUCAGGCCUGGUUAGUAGUUGGAUGGGAGACCGCUUAGGAGUACCAGGUGCUGUGGGCU
ensembl:rRNA 5S_rRNA 5S ribosomal RNA